rnacentral:rRNA from 1 species
UACGUAGGGUGCAAGGCGUUGUCCGGAAUUAUUGGGCGUAAAGAGCUCGUAGGCGGUUUGUUGCGUCGGCUGUGAAAUCCCGAGGCUCAACCUCGGGUCUGCAGUCGAUACGAGCAAACUAGAGUGUUGCAGGGGAGACUGGAAUUCCUGGUGUAGCGGUGAAAUGCGCAGAUAUCAGGAGGAACACCGGUGGCGAAGGCGGGUCUCUGGGCAACAACUGA